CUGCAAUCCUAGCAGUGUGACGAGAUCAUGGAUGCAGAUCAAGAAUAACUGAAAACAUCAUCUAGUGAUUUCUGACGCUGAGGAACGAGAUGAAGACGUCAGUUCUCACUCACCAGUAAUCGGGAGAACGAACGGCAGGAUGACUGUCGGAAUUGCCAGUCUGCGUGGGCUAGCAGUUAACCUAGCCUGCCCCACUUCAGCAUCCUUGUCAGACCGUCCUCGGUGCUUCCUCCUCGGGCCCAGCUCCAGGCAGGGCCGUGAUCCCUGGGCCCACAGGACGCAGCAGACCAACCUCUUCCAGCCGAUCCAGCGCCAGCUCUCCCGGCCAUCAAACGAAGACACAAACUUAAACGCAGAUGUGGACAAGACACUGCAUGGACAGUACUGGAUUUUCCUGGUUC